CCAGAAAACUAAGCAAGAUAAAAUCUACAUUAUCUGAAAAAAAAGUACCAGAUAUCAGAUGUCAGUGAUGGAUGUCUGAGAUAGAAAAUGUGUUCUAUAAUGUAAAAUAAUUAUUGAUUACAAAAUCAAGUCAACUUAGAUUCAAAUCGAGAUAUAAUUGCAAUCUCAAUUAAAAAAAGAAAAGUGGAAAUUUUACUUCUAAAUUGCAUUCCUCUGACUAUAAUCUCCCUCUCAUACACACAAAAGAAUACAUCACUUUGUGGAAAGGGGUGCUGGGAACACAAGAGUUUUCACAAUGGAAUAAAAAAAUCAUUUAUUUCAAUAUCUGUUGCCUGACUAUCUUCAAUAAUAGAUAACUCAAAGAAGGAACAAAAUUACUUCAGUGAAGCCAAUUGUACUGCUGAAUAGUUUUAUCACAUUUUGGUAUUGAAUGUGAAAAGCAUUUUUCCCAUAUGAAAUUUUGGGUUAAUCUUUUUUUAUUCCUAAAAAAAAAAAAUAAGAGAAUUCCAAGGAACUAAUAUUUAUAUCUUGAGGAAGAAUUUCUUAUUCUAUCUACCAUGAUCAGUAUAUAUAUUGAGACUUUGGGUCUGUAAGUUUGCCUUUGUUUUACAAAGGCAAAGAAAUAUAAUAUACCUCCACUUUCAGAUAGCUGCACUUUUUCCCCCACUGCAAAUCACUGAGGUAAAUUAGAGGAAAAUCCCCCAUGAGAGUAAGAAUUAUAAUUUUUUUUUCCUAGGGCCACACUGGUGUGGCAUAUGGAAAUUCCCAAGCUAGGGGUGGAAUCCGAGCUAUAGCUGCUAGUCUAUGUCACCGUCACAAAACCACUGGAUCCGAGUCACGUCUGUGACCCACACCACAGCUCACAGCAACAAUGGAUCCUUAAACCACUGAACAAGAUCAGGUAUCAAACCCACAUCCUCAUGGAUGCUAGUCAGGUUCAUUGCUGCUGAGCCACUACAGAAACUCCAAGAAUUAUAAUUCUUAUUAGCAACAAAUAACAGCUGUAACUUCUGAGUUUGUACCAGGAAUUUUACAAUAAAGAAAAUAAGUAUAGAUAAAUGAAACAACUUGUGCAAGGUUACAUAACUUGGAAAUGGCCAAGCCAGGACCCAAGCCCAGUCAGGAAAGGCUAGGUUAUAUUCAGUAACAAAAAACCCCCAAGUCUCACAGCUAAUAACAAAGGUGCAGCUCAUACUACAUGUGCACCUUGGUUUGUCUGUGGCUCUACUGUGUUUUGUCUUCAUUCUCUAACCCCAGCUGGUAGUGAAGCCUCUGUUUGGAAUCUUGCCAGCAGUGGUAGGGGAGGGGGGAAUAGUGCUGCAAACCACACACUAGCUCUGAACGCUUCUACUUGGCAGAGGAACAAAAUGGUUUCAGUGCAACCAGCGGCAGCGUUAAACAGCUAUGUCACGUCUUGGUUUUGAAUACUGAUAUUUUAUAUUUCCAUGUCCAGAGCAAGUUAUGGCCAAAUAUAACAUCAGUGAGGUGGGGACAUAUAAUCCUCUCACAGGUAAAGGCAGCAAAUAUUUGUGAACUGUAACUAGCUUACUGCAGAUUGGUGUACACUGGGCAUAAUUUAACCUUAAGCCCAUGUAGCAGUCCCCUGGUCCACACUGGUCCAAUCAGAGUGAAGCAAAGACUUCUGUUUGAUGGUUUGGGGAAGAGUUGACCUUGCUCUUUCUCAAUAUAGAGCUGCUGCUGCUAUUCUGUCAGGAGGGAAGAAGUGUGACAAAAAGGCUGGUCUAUGCAGCAAGGCAGAGUCAAGAGAAAUGGAACCCCAGCACUGAGGACCCCACGAAUCUCUGGAACAGUUCACCCUGAGGGAUGGUCCAACCUCUGAACUUUCUGAUGAUAUAUCCCAAUAGAUUCCCUCACGUUAAACCCAUUUGAAUAAGAACUUUUAUUAGUUAUAUUUUCUAAGUGGUAAUAUUAAAAUCCAAGACCUGGCAAAGUCCUAAACUUUGUCUUAGAAGAAGCAUGCAUGUGUAUAUGUAUAAUAUACUUAAUUUUGUGUAAAAACAAUGUAGCAAUGCUAGAGAAACUUAAAAGUAAGAAGGAAAUUACAGAGUUCUCAAUGCUGCCUAGUGGAAACGAAUCCAGCUAGUAUCCAUGAGGAUGGGGGUUGGAUCCCUGGCCUUGCUUAGUGGGUCAGGGAUCUGGUGUUGCCAUGAGCUGUGGUGUAGGUCACAGACUUGGCUUGGAUCCUGCAUUGCUGGGGCUAUGGCAUAGGCUGGCAGCUGUAGCUCUGAUUCGACCCCUAGCCUGGGAACUUCCAUAUGCUGCAGAUGCAGCUCUAAAAAGCAAAAAAAAUAAAUAAAUAAAAAUAAGAAGGAAAUUACCCAUAAUCAACUACCCCAGAACAUGAGCCAUUAAUCGGGUUUGCAAAUGUUCUUCUGGUCUCCCUUCCCACUAUGUACAUUUAUUUUUAUAUAAGUUGUUAAAGCAUACAAAUAAUUUUGUAUCUUUACCUUUUCACUUAAAUGUACAUUUGAAUUCUUUUCCUGCAUUACUACAUAAUAUUAUAAAGAUCAUUAAAAUAGCUGCAAAAUAUCCCAGCAAUUGGCUGUAAUAGAGAAUAGAUGAAAAUUUCCCUAACCUUGGACAUUGAGGUUGCUGCCAGUCUUUUAAUUUACAGAUAACAGUGCCACACAUACAGAAAUAUAUGUGCAUGGAGAAAGAUGGGAAGGGCAUAUACAAAGCAUUAUGACAGUGGAUGCUUUUGUUGAGGCCUCUGUGCUCUUUGGACCAUCAAGUCCAGGGCUUGGGCCCUGCCAACUGCAUGUCACUGUUCUAGAUGCAGAUCUGGUAUUAUUGUGCCAGGCUUAAAAAAAAAAUGGCAUAAACAUCUUAAAAGUUUUUCUAGAAUAAAGAUUCUGAUUUGGAAUAAUUGGUUAAAAUUUGGAAGAUAAUAACUUGUAGGUGGAAGCUAGUAGCGUAGGGACACUUGUGAACAUGUUAGUAGUACCAAGUCAGAAGGAAGUGCUAACUGAGAUGUAUCAAUAAAGACUAUAGGCAAAACCAAAUUUUUUUGUACUGAGGUUCUCCACUGGCAUGAACUGCUCAUGUAAAUCUGUCUGGAUUAUGUCCUCUGAGUAAGUCAUGCCGUAAGGGGGAUAGCUCUUUAGUGUCCCCCAAGCGUCUUUGUACUGUCUUGCAUAGGUCAGAUGGCUCUUGUGGCCUGGCCUGGUCACUGGCCUCUGAGAGAGCUCAUCUCUGGUCCAGCAUCCCCCAGUAACUCCACAGCCUGAGCCCUUUCCAGUGAACUUGAGAUAAUAUUUCCCUUGCUUGCUUGAGAUUCAUUUAUAUUUAUAUCUAUCUGAUAUAAAUAAUAAAAAGGGGCUGAUGUAGUUAUCUAAGAGUAGUGUCCAGGCAGUUCUCCAAAUCUAUUUAUCUUUCUCAGAAUCAUUUAAAAACUGGAAGACUGGUGGACCCUUGAUGAGAUGUUGAACUUUUUGGCUCUGCUGAUCUUGGUCUGGAGGUACAGGACCCCAGCUGUAGAUCUUGAUGCCUGUUUCUUAGUCUAGGUUCCAAACAUGAUUUCUUGACAACUAUGUUAGCAAAAGCAUUUAACCUGUUCCCACAGGGCCAUUAAAAGCAGAGCUGGAUGGUUUAGUGGAUCUGAGUUCUUAAAUUAGGGAAUCCUUCCUCGACAGAGUAUGGGCUGACUUGGGACAAAGCAAUAUUAUAUAGUGGAGCCAAAGGUAUGUAUAUUAAUAACUUCUGAGCAAGGAGCAAAAAAAUGGGCCUAGAUCUUGAGAAGAAAUCUGGUAGGAAAAUGUCUCGUAUGAGUGAAGUUGGAAAAACAGGCUCACAGGGAGAGGCUAUGGCAUCUCCCGCAAGACAGAGUAAGUAUAGGUUGCCCUAAAAGUGAGGGGAUCUGAGUUCCCAGGAAGUGGGGGAAAGGAUGAGCAUACCGACAAAAAUCAGGUCCUGGAAGAUAGUCACACAAAAUGCAAUCUCUACUCACAACCCUUACACAACCACUGAGUGAAUGAGCAACCGGUACAAUCACUCUGACUGAAAUGACUCAUUACUGAACAGGUAUCUUUGGCUAUAUUCUUUUCAAAGAAAACAGAGAAAUAGCAAUGUCUUUUUAUUGUGGAUUUUUUAAUGUUUUCACUUUCAGCCAGUGGUUUUUGCAUUAUUUUAGACAAUGCCUUAGAGUCCUUUUUUAAAUAGCCCUUUUCUUCCAAAAAGCUCCAGUAUGAUGCCAAGAACAUUUAUCCCUUCCAUAAUUCAAAUUUGGUGUUAUGCCAAAGCCUAUUACAGGAUUCCAUUUUGAUUCUUGAUCCUGAAUAUCUAAUGUAGACCAGCGUAUCCUGUUUUUUCCCAACAACUGCCAAGCCUUCACAGCAGCACCACAUGAGCGACUUGUUUAUAAAGCCUUUGCUCCCCAGCCUCUCUCAGGCCCCCAGAAUGCAGGCUCCCUGAGGGCAGGCAGGCCAUGCCUGUCAUAUUCACAGGUUUCUCCUCAUGCUUAAUAAGCAGCAUGCUGGCUCAAUGGAUAAUAUGUGCUAAUAGAUUUCCAAUAUCCUUAUAGCUAUAUUUACUGAAAAAAAUAGAGAAAAAAGGUUAAGUAGAAGUAGAAUAAUAAAUAAAUAAAUGUCAUAAGAUGAGAGAACUUGAAUGAAGUGCCCACUUAGUGAAAUGUGUACUUAGCACAUCAACAAGGUGUAGAGCUGUUUAAAAAGAAAAGAAGCAGAAAAGUCUAUAGCAUGUUUUCUCUUUUCAGAAUUCCCCAAUUCCAGUAUAUUAUUUCAGAUUUCCUUAAGGGUUUUUUUUCUGCACUCUCCAAUUACCCUUUGAGGACCAUCACUAGAGGGUGAAGCUGGCACUUCUGCUUUCUGAAAUAGCCCUGGUACCUCAUGGAGAUGAAAUUCUCUGGCCUUCGGUUCCAAUUUGGUAACAGCCCCAUGCACAUCAAGCCUGACAGGCCAUUUAUUGCUUUGGGCAGCACAGUGAGGUCUGUGCACAAGAAUGGCUGAUGAGGGAAACUCCACGGUGGGAUUCAGGAGUGAAAGCAGACUGCACUGGCUGGGAAAGGGCAGCUAAGGGAGCUGGUGCCCUAGCCACUUGCUAAUGAGGAUGGCAACUCAAAGAGAGCUAUUGCUGACCUACAGGAGUCCCACUGCCAGGUCCUCUCCCCCAUUUUCUGAGGGAGCCAUCGCCCUCCUCGUGCAGCCUUAGGUCCUCAACCCCACUGCCUGCCCAACAAAUAUCCUGGGAAGACAAAGGUCAGGCUUGAGAGUCCUCAAGGAUAACUUGGGAUGUGGAGUAAAGCAGUCAUCACAUAACAAUUAAUCAGGGAGCAAACAGUCUGAGUUUUAUAUCUGAAUGAGGAUGUACUUUAAGGUGAAAGUAUACUUGACAUCUUUAAUCAGUCCCUUUAAAAUGGGCAUCAUUGCAUUCAUUUAUGCCACACUGAUGUUAGGAGGCUUAAUUAAUGACUUAAAGUAUAGGCUUCAAAUCAAAAUUAUCUCAACAUGAGACAAAUGGAAGGCUUUUAAAAUAACAGGCACAUAUACCUAUAUGUUAAUCACUAAGGAGUUUCCUUUUUUAAAAAUGGUAGGCAAUGGAAUGUUCUCAACCCUACUAUGUAGCUCUAGUUAUUGAUUGGUAAAACGGUGCUCAUAUAAAUACUGUAAGACUUAGUAAUUCCUUGCAGAAUCUGAUUCGUUAGGGAGAAGUACUCUCUGCUAUUUUAAGCACUUAGGUACAUGUUCUCUGAGAAAGUCUACUGUCAUAGCAACUGAUUUACCACAGAAAAGCAAGGAAGUACCUUACGAAGUACUUUUUCUUCCCCUUCAUUUUGGAGUCUUUCCUUGGCUCUUAGAAUUGUUUCAUGACUCAGACACCUGUCAUGGAAAAUUUUAUUUAAUGAAUGGAUACCUCUGUGACAGUUUUAAAAUGUCUGAAGGUGCUAGACUUAAUGGAUAUUCAGGUGCUACGGUUUAGCACCAAAGGUUAGGAGAGCAUGCUGGAAUACCAGAAAAAUCAUGUGACAGAUGAAUGGGAAAAUGAACCCUGUGAGUUUGUAUGAAUAUACCCAGAAAAACUGAGAUUAAACAAACCCAGAUCAGUCAUAAAUUUAAGGCUCAUCUGAUCACCUUAAUUUUAGUCAAAUUAUGGUUAAUCUAAUCCCACAUUGGGUUAUAAACUGCUUUACACAGUCCAAAAAAAAAGUCAAUCAAACAACCAACCUGCGGCCUGAUAAAGCAGCCUCCCAUAUUUAGACACUGUCUAAGGAGGAAAAAAAAUGUCUGUUGGGGGAAAAUGUUUUAGUGGCUCACAAUCAAUGAACAAUGAAACUACCAGCAAGGGGUGAGGGAUGACUAAUGAUUUCUGUAUAAGAAUCAAGUUUAAAAAGAGCUACACUAUAACACUUGAAAUUUCUGAGGUCACAAAGUGUUUGUAUGACAUGGCCAUAGACAUGAGCCAAGUCAAA
rnacentral:lncRNA from 1 species